CUGUGUGGAAACUGGGAUUUGAACUGGGAAGGUGGGAAGCAAUCUAGCAGGGGCCUCUGGGCUUGCGGAGAGUCCCUGUUUUCCCUUUUUUCUUUUUCACCCAAUAAAACCUUGCUUUUCUCACCCCUCAAACCAUCUGUGAACCCAGACUUUCUAGGCCAUGGAACAAGGACCCCAUCUUUAUCUGAACUAAGGAAAAGUCCUGCACCAUUUUGGCGCGCAACGUGGGGGUUCGAGAAGCGGACAGACCAGAAAGCAGCAGCUUCCCGCCGCCUGCCGCCCUCACCUCUGUGCCAGGACCUGGACGCAUGGCCCAAGUGUCCCACACACAGGCGGCUGGCUGGUUCCCAGCCACAUACCUCCGCAGCCUUCUGCUUCCCUGGCCAAGGAUUUUAACUCUAUUGGACAAUAAUUAAGCUUAAACUUUUCUCCCAGAUGGAGGAACAGUUGCAUAAGAAUAAUCUUCCCCAGGCAUUUUUAAACUGUUUUUUCAUCCCCUUCUCUACCCCAUCAGCAGUUAACUUUUAAAGUUCUUUUUUUUUUAGAAGACAUUUUUCUAAGCCAGGCCCCCCAACUAUCUCUGUUUAUAUUCUCUGCAAAGCUUUGGUUGUGAAAGCAAGCCUCCAUCUUGCUUUCCAUCCUGGAGGCAUGGCUUGUAACUGUGGUGGCAAGGCUUUGUUUAGCAAUCCUGCUUUAGGGAAUAAGUUCCUUUCUGGUUUGAUAUCUACAUGUUUUCCUAGCCCUGUCUCUUAUAGAACCCCACCUGGGAACUGGGUUUUUUCCUGCCUGUCUGUGUCUGUGUAAUGUCUGUAAAAACAGCUCUAAUUAAUUUGGCUUAAAGAAAGACAAGCGCUUGGAUCGAAUAUUUUUUGAAGGGAAGAUAAAAGCUGUGGUACCUUUCAGUUCAUGUGACUUUAAUCUUUGAGAAAUAAAAAGAGCCUUAAAGACUAUUGGUAAAAUGCAGGUAUCAUUACAAUGUAAAUAGGUGACUAAAUUAUACAGGCAGUUGCAAGAUUUGCUAAAUGUUUUAAGGUUAUAAACUGCUUUCUGCGUCUUGAGAACUAUUUGACUUGCCGGCUUCACAGUUGUCAAGGCCUGGGGAUAUAUGGAACUGUCCACACCCUUAAUUAUGCUGAAAAAUGUCAAACCUUGGCUACACUUAGCACACAAUUAAAGCAACUUACCAGGUUUCACCUUAAAGUUAAAAAUCGCUAGGAGUUAUUAUUAUGACAUGUAAUUGAAACUACCGGAAAUAAAUGAUGUUCAAUCUUC
ensembl:lncRNA novel transcript